rnacentral:rRNA from 1 species
AGGAGAGAGUGCCGUAAGGAACCCGAUGACAGGUGUUGCAUGGCCGUUGUCAGCUCGUGUCGUGAGAUGUUUGGUUAAGUCCAUCAACGAGCGCAACCCUUAUAGUUAGUUGAAUUCUCUAGCUAGACUGCCCUGGUAACAGGGAGGAAGGAGGGGAUGACUUCAGGUCGGUAUUGCCCUUACGUCUGGGGCUACAAACACGCUACAAUGGCCGGUACAAUGGGCUGCCAAGUCGCGAGACGGAGCAAAUCCCAACAAAGCCGGUCUCAGUUCAGAUUGCAGGCUGAAACUCGCCUGCAUGAAGCCGGAAUCGCUAGUAAUGGUAGGUCAGCACACUACCGUGAAUACGUUCCCGGGUCUUGUACACACCGCCCGUCAAACCAUGAAAGUGGGGGGUACCUGACGUACUAGCUUGCCUAGCCCUAAGGUAAACCACAUGAUUGGGGUUAAGUCGUAACAAGGUAACCGUAA